rnacentral:lncRNA from 1 species
GAGGUAUCUGUGUUUCAGGAUGAUGCCCCAGAGAAAGUUAACAGUGAUGUGCCUGGCAAUAUGGCAGAUGAUGUUCCUGUGGCUCAGGAGACUGUGCAAGUCAUCCCUGGCAGUAAGCUACUCUGGAGGAUCAACAGCCGGCCCCCCAACUCUGCUCAGAUGUACAACUUCACCAGCUUCACUGUGAGUCUCAAUGAGUUGGAGUCAGGAAUGGAGAAGACCCUGCCACCCACAGAUUGCCGCCUCCGUCCUGACAUCCGUGGCAUGGAGAAUGGCAACAUGGAUCUGGCCAGUCAGGAGAAGGAGCGACUAGAGGAAAAGCAGCGAGAGGCCAGAAAAGAACGUGCCAAAGAGGAAGCAGAGUGGCGGACCAGGUGAGUCGGAACAGUGAGCCUCCACACACCUGGGCAGUGAAGAGGCCACACCACGUCACAGGCAGUACUGUUUAACUCUGUCCUCCCUGCUUAGCUAGCCCCUGUGGGCAUAAAGAUCCCUACCCCACCACUGCUACCUAGUGCUGUGACUCAACUCUGUAUUGAAGGCCAGAGUGUCUGAUUAGCAUAUAUGCUGCUUAAAACCAUUUAUAGGGAGUUGCCUAAGACAUGUCACCUGGGGGUGCCCAGGCUUUCUGUUCUACUUCACAGUCUAUUUGUCCCAAAAUGGCUUUUCAAAUAUGACCAG